rnacentral:piRNA from 1 species
UACUGUUGGGAGCCUGAGCAUCACUGA